ensembl:lncRNA
AUGUUUGCGAGCAGAGCAGCCUGGCAGAGGUGUGGGCCUCUGGCGCGACAGUCCCUGCACCGCGCGCAGCUCAAUAGAAAUGUAGUUCCUCGGAGGCUCAUGUCGUCAGGUCCUGGCGGCUUCGGUGAGAAUUUCCUUUAUGUCGUCCUCUGCGGUGGAGCCUUCGCAGGUGCCGUGGCAUAUGCUUACAGAACAGUUGCAACAGACCACGCACGUUUUGUUGGUCGUGUUUCUGAAAUUGAUGCUCGCCCCAAGUCUGACUGGAAACCCAAACCAUGGCCACCCAAGAGUGGGGAGAAUGGCAAUGAAGAAGCUAGUGCAGAGGAAGGAGAGGUGGCAGAAACUGUAGAGAGCGCAUCCGAGGAGGAUGUUCCUGCUGAGGCACCUGAGGUCUUGCUGGAAACAGCCGAAGCCACCAGAGGGAAGGCAGGAACUCUUGAGACCGUUGUGGAAAAGGUUGCCGAGACGGUAGCAGAGACUGCAGAGGUGAUCACUGAGGUGGCAGGGGUUGUUCAUGAAACCGCAGAGGAGGUGGCAGCGGUGGCAGAAGAAGUGCAGAAGGUAGCAGAGAAAGUAGAAGCAGCAGCAGAGGCUGUCGAAACUCCUGUUAUCCAAGCUGAAGAGCCGGCGUCAGAGAGCAACGGGUCGGUUAGCACAGCAGUAGCAGAAACAGUAGCGCUGGCUGCUGCCUCCGUGAUCGAGGCUGUUCCUGUGGAGUCUGUAUCCGUGGAAGAUGUGUCCGUUGAAGCUCUACCAGAGAUGCCCACUGAGGUUCCUACAACAGAUCAUUUGGCUAAAGUACCAGUAACAGAGGUGGCACCUGUUGCUCCAGUGAUGGAGGAGGAACCAGCUUCUCUAGUAGCAGAAGCACCAGAUACCACUGUAAUAGAAGAGCCUCCGAUAGCAGAGCAAUUGUCCAUUCCCCCAGUUUCCCCUGUUGUAGAUGAGCCUGUUUCCACAGUGGUGGAAGAGUCUCCAGUAGCAGAGGAGACACCAGUUGAUUCACCAGCAGCAGAAGUAUCUGUUGCUCCAGUGAUUGAAGCAGCACCAGUUUCCCCAGUUGUGGAAGAACCAGCUGUUGCAGCAGUGGUAGAAGUGACUCCAGUUGUAAAGGAGACACCAGCUGAUUCUCCAGUACCCUCAGAAGAAGCAUCUGAUGUCCCUGUGAUAGAAGAGGAAGUUUUAUUUGCCCCAGUGACAGAAGAGACACCUAUUGCCACAGAAGCAGCGGAGAUAUCAGUUGCCCCAUUGAUAGAAGAGAUGCCUGUUACCCCUGUGCCAGAAGAGGCAGCCGUUUUCUUUGUAACUGAAGAAGCUCCUGCUGUUGUUGCUGAAGACGCACCUGCUGUAGCAACUGAAGAACUUGAGGAAACACUUGCAGCCAAAGUAGCAGAAGAGGAUAUUCCAGUGGUUGAGGAAGUGAAGGCAGAAGAGGUGAUUCCAGGAAAUGCGUUUGUGGAGGCCCCAGUAAGUAUAGUCGAGGAACAAGCAGCAAGUCCAGUUGUGGAAGUUACAGAAAGUGUUGUUGAACCAGAUGUUGCAAGCAUAGUGGUCACUGAGGAAGUUGCUCCAGCUGAAACGUCAAGUGCACCUUUGGAAGAGCCCAAACGAGACUACGUAGUGGUUGUCUUGGAGGGAGCUCCCAAAGCAGAAAAGAAGCCAAUGGUGCUCGGUGUGUCACCCGUGACUGGCAAGAUCAUCCCAACCCCUGAUGAUGGUGAAGAUCCAUCGGGACAGGUAACAGGGCAAGCGCCGUAUGCUUAAAGUGCAGAUGUAUUAACACCAACUAAAAAAGUUGGGAGCAUUCAGAUGUCCUGGGAUAGUAAACCGGUUCCCUGGUAAACAAUUAGUGAUGUGCCUUUCCCAUUUCCUUGACCCCCUGGAUUCCAGUAAUCCUUACACUGGGCCCAGAAUGCUGUUUCCUUCCGACUCAGCUCAAAAUAAUACUCUAUUUACAUUGACAUGCUCUCCACUGGAGAGUGGUUACUUCAUGUGAACAUUCACUUCACUCUGAUGUGAGACAAAAGUUUUUUGACAAUUAUAAUAUGCAUAAAAAGCUGUGACCUAUAUUUAUAGCCUUUUUAAAUGGCACUCCACUCUUUUUGACUCAACUGCACAUUGGAGCCUAUACUAGUGAACCCUACCUCAAACAUUACAUUAUAGGACGUGUCUUGGAAUUGGCAUGUCAAUAGUUACAACCAGCAGGGCUACAAAUUUGCCAUAAACACUGUCAUACCUGCGUGCUGGCCAUCAGUUUUCUGGUUCUCAUCUGUCUUCAAUCUAUUUUUCAUUUGCAUUAUUUAUGAAUUAACACUAUUAUUUUUUUUUUGUUCCUCUCUACCUCAGCUUGAAAAGACAGUGUGCUCCUUUUUCCAGUAACCAGUAUUAUAGUAACCAGCUGGCAUUACCAAUAUGACAUGACUAGGUCAAAAAACAACUGACAAACAGAUUACCUUUACCAAUAUAGUCAAUACAACAAUAAGCCAUGUUACAAGUCACAUUCCAGUAUUAAUUUCUAAAGCGAGUCUCUACAAUGUCAUCCAAAAGGCAGACCCCCUGCUGCACUCCUUUGCCUUUGUUUUCCUGUUCCCCCUUCUCCUGUGAUUUAUAAAACAUGUUGUUUGGCAAAUACAUAAAUAAAUUCCUUUGCUUGAUGUGGCGAAAACA